UACGUAGGGACCAAGCGUUGUCCGGAAUCAUUGGGCGUAAAGAGCGUGUAGGCGGCUUGUUAAGUCUUGCGUGAAAUCUCGGGGCUCAACCCCGAGCGGUCGUGAGAAACUGGCAGGCUAGAGUGCGGGAGAGGAGAGUGGAAUUCCUGGUGUAGCGGUGAAAUGCGCAGAUACCAGGAAGAACACCCGUGGCGAAGGCGGCUCUCUGGAACGCAACUGACGCUGAGACGCGAAAGCGUGGGGAGCAAACAGG
rnacentral:rRNA from 1 species